GGGGAAUUUGCUCGGUUGCCCUUGGGGAUUAAUUGGAUCCGUUUCCACUCUGUGUUUCUCCAAAUCUAGGAGGAAGGCUUAGAUUAGCUUUUUUUUGAUGCUGCUGCUGCAGCUCUUCCUCAACGCCUUCCCAAAGAGGUAGCUCUGCCUCUGAGCAAGAUUCUUCCCCCUCUCUGGUGAAAGUGAAAUUUGCCUGUUCCUGCAUCAAGAGGAACUGUUUAAUAAUGUGUGCCUGUUUUACAGCAACACAGUCAAACACUUUCAGAUUGUGCUCUUGCUAGUAGAUGGUCAUAUACACGAAAGAUUCUCGCUCAGAACUGCCUGUAGAGAGUGACUCUGCCUCCUCCUUAGCUGCUUCCUACCUUCUGAGCUUGUAGCCCAUGACUCCAUGCUAUAAGGGCUGCUCUCAAUCCCUGCUCUGCAGAAGCAGCCCACUUGCCCUACACUCCUCCCUGAGUGUGGGAAGCGAAGAUGCAAGCGCCAUCCAGGGCUGAAUAGAGCUGCCAUGAAUCACUGAGCUGGUCUGGUAGGGCCAGAGUGACCCAGCUACCCACUCAGAGUAGUAGGUGGUUUGUUUAUUUGUCAUGUGAGCCUUAAAAAUCAACAUUUCCCAAGUCUUAAAAAGCCAACCAACUAACCAACCAACCAACCAACCAACCAAUCAACCAACCAACCAACCAACUAACCAACCAACCAACCAACCAACCAACCAACCAAUUAACCAACCAACCAACCAAUCAACCAACCAACCAACCAACCAACCAGAAAAACAAACAAACAAAAAAACCCAAUCAAUGUUCACUCUGCCUUGAUUUUCUUCUGUUCAUCUUCUGGAAGAGAGGACACAGAAACCUCCUAAGCAAAGAGGACCAUUUCAGAAGCCCAAGGGCAAACCUAGGGAUGUUUCAGAAGCCCGUUUUUAAUUUCAUGGGAACCAGUGUCUCUGGGAAGAUCAUGCCCUCAGUCUGGCUAGUACAACUGGGAAAGAAGACUGCUAAGCUGAUAUAAUGAGAUAAUAUCCUUCACUGGCAUAAGUAAGGCUACGAGAUGGACUGCUACCCACAUUGGUAAUUAUACAUGCUCCAUUUCCACAACUGGAACCAGAAUGAAUGCUCUGCAGCAUUUUACUCUCUCUGAAUAACAUUAACUGAAAAAAACCCCAAGUGAGUAACUUGUUUACGUAUUAGUGUUGGAGGAAACAACCUGAGCUGGCUGUCCUUGAGUCUGUGGAGUCAAACUCAUUCAGCAAGCACUUAGCACAGGAUGAAGGAGGAAGCCAUUUUACCACCUGCACAUAAAACUAGUGUGCCAGCUCUGCCAUUCCACAGAGGUGCCAGCUUCAGGUUCUGUAUAUCCUGGGAAAGGAGCAGACAGCAGAGAGAGCAUCACAGAUUUGUCCAGUUGUGUGAUACAAGCUUCAUAGGUGAGCAAAAGUGACACUUCCAUCCCAUCUUGUCUGUGUGAGCCCAAAACACUCCGUGAAUAUCAGAAGUUUUAGGGUGAGACACGUUAGUAUGACACGUUAUAAGAGGCAAAGAUGUAGCCUGUGGUAUUAUGGGCAAUAGAUGGGUCCAAAUCACCUUCUAGAAAUCUUUUCUGACUAAUGAAGUGAUGCAAAUCCAUCUUUUCUGACGAAUGAAGGGAUGCAAAUCCAUCUUUUCUGACAAAUGAAGGGAUGCAAAUCCACACACUGCCUGUCUGGCCGCACUGACAUCACUGGUAGCACAACUAGUACAGUUUGCUGUUGAGACUGAGAGGCAGAACUUCUGGUUAAAAGUACAUGCCCAGUCAGAGCAGGUCAGUGCUGCAGACAAAUGAAGCCCCCAGUGGUCCCUGUGCCUGCACUGGCCACAAAGCAGCUAAAAACAUUCUGAGAGGAAAACUGCCAUGGUAGCCCAGCAGUUCCUUAGUCCCUCCUUGUGUGACUGCAAGCAGGGCUGCCCACGGUGCCUCAGGAGCAUGUACACUGCCAUCAUCUGCAGGCAGGGGUCCACCCUGCCAUUUGGGA
rnacentral:lncRNA from 1 species